CCGCUAUAUUUUUUUAAAGCCGGGUCAUAGCAUUACCGGGUCUUGCGCAAUGGGAGCCCAUGAACCUCGUCAGGUUCGGAAGAAAGCAGCGAUAAGUGGUAACUCUUAUGUGCCGCAAGUAAAUCUGGUAAUGCUAUGAUCCGGCUUUAAAAGCUAGCGG
rnacentral:SRP_RNA from 1 species